rnacentral:tRNA from 1 species
GUUUAAAUAGCUUAUAUUAAUAGAGCAGAAUAUUGAAGAUAUUCAGGAGAGACAUUCUUUAAAUA